CGGUGUAUGUGAUAGUGUUCUAAGACAAGGGUGUAUGUGAUAGUGUUCUAAGACAAGGGUGUAUGUGAUAGUGUUCUAAUAACUAAGACAAGGGUGUAUGUGAUAGUGU